UUAUAAAUAUGGGAGUAGGAUAUGGAAUAUGUUGUUGGAAUAAACGACAAGUGAGCUUCCAAAUAAAUUUUGAAAACUGUAACAGGGUGACUGUUCAGUGAAGAAGUGUGUAGGGCAAUGUUUCUGCAUGCUGAAUCGUGGUUAGUACACGAUGGGAGAUGUUAGAGACAAGGCCGGUUAUGGUGUGUGGAAGCUUCGAUAGAAAGUUGUCAGAGUUGUGUAUUUC
rnacentral:lncRNA from 1 species